AGACUUGACUUCUCUUUGUUUUUCAUCAUUGAGUACAAUAUUAUAAACACUGUCAAGGGAAGGAAAUUGCUGCAUCAUUAACAAAUUACUCCUUACACCAAAAUAUGUCUCAUUCAGUCCCAUAAGGAACUGAUAAAUCUUGUUUUCAUCAUCUUCCCCGAUAAUACCAUUCUUAGCAGCACAAGUGCACUUCUGUCCAUGGUUUGGGACCAUUGUCCCCANNNN
rnacentral:lncRNA from 1 species